rnacentral:rRNA from 1 species
AUUGAACGCUGGCGGCAGGCCUAACACAUGCAAGUCGAACGGUAACAGGAAGAAGCUUGCUUCUUUGCUGACGAGUGGCGGACGGGUGAGUAAUGUCUGGGAAACUGCCUGAUGGAGGGGGAUAACUACUGGAAACGGCAGCUAAUACCGCAUAACGUCGCAAGACCAAAGAGGGGGACCUUCGGGCCUCUUGCCAUCGGAUGUGCCCAGAUGGGAUUAGCUAGUAGGUGGGGUAACGGCUCACCUAGGCGACGAUCCCUAGCUGGUCUGAGAGGAUGACCAGCCACACUGGAACUGAGACACGGUCCAGACUCCUACGGGAGGCAGCAGUGGGGAAUAUUGCACAAUGGGCGCAAGCCUGAUGCAGCCAUGCCGCGUGUAUGAAGAAGGCCUUCGGGUUGUAAAGUACUUUCAGCGGGGAGGAAGGGAGUAAAGUUAAUACCUUUGCUCAUUGACGUUACCCGCAGAAGAAGCACCGGCUAACUCCGUG